rnacentral:rRNA from 1 species
GAUUCAUUGGGCGUAAAGGGUGCGUAGGUGGCGCGGUAAGUCGGGUGUGAAAUCUCGGAGCUUAACUCCGAAAUUGCAUUCGAUACUGCCGUGCUUGAGGACUGGAGAGGAGACUGGAAUUCAUGGUGUAGCAGUGAAAUGCGUAGAGAUCAUGAGGAAGACCAGUGGCGAAGGCGGGUCUCUGGACAGUUCUUGACACUGAGGCACGAAGGCCAGGGGAGCAAACGGGAUUAGAUACCCCGGUAGUCCUGGCAGUAAACGGUGCACGUUUGGUGUGGGAGGAUUCGACCCCUUCCGCGCCGGAGCUAACGCGUUAAACGUGCCGCCUGGGGAGUACGGUCGCAAGAUUAAAACUCAAAGAAAUUGACGGGGGCCCGCACAAGCGGUGGAGUAUGUGGCUUAAUUCGAUGCAACGCGAAGAACCUUACCAGGCCUUGACAUGCAUUUCUAAGCGGGUGAAAGCCCGUGAGUCCCGAAAGGGACAACUUGCACAGGUGCUGCAUGGCU